AGUUCUCUGUAGUGUUUGCCAAUGUUGGAGCCGUCUGCAAAGUGUCCCCGGCAAGAAGAGGCUGCCUACCACAAGAACUUUAGCUUACUUUUUAAAGAUUGAAGAAAAAAAAAGAAGACAGAAAAAGAAGAACUCAAAGAUACACAAAGUAAUUUGACCAAGGCUCAGAAGUUUUUGGAGCCGUGAGGGAUACAGCAGUUUGGUCAAUAUUGUCUUAACAUGCUUCAAAUAAAUCAGCUUCUCUCCAAGAUAAAAUGGCAAACCCAAAAGAGAAAACUGCAAUGUGUCUGGUAAAUGAGUUAGCCCGUUUCAAUAGAGUCCAACCCCAGUAUAAACUUCUGAAUGAAAGAGGGCCUGCUCAUUCAAAGGCAGUAUAACUCCAACUGUGGAACUGAAUGGGCUUGCUAUGAAAAGGGGAGAGCCUGCCAUCUACAGGCCAUUAGAUCCAAAGCCAUUCCCAAAUUAUAGAGCU
rnacentral:sRNA from 1 species